GGUCAAGUUAUUAAGGGUGCAGGGCGGAUGCCUUGGCACUAGGAGCCGAUGAAGGACGUGAUAAGCUGCGAUAAGCUUCGGGGAGUUGCACGUAAACUUUGAUCCGAAGAUUUCCGAAUGAGGAAACUCACUUAGAGUAAUGUCUAAGUAUCAUUAAGUGAAUACAUAGCUUAAUGAGGGGAACUCAGGGAACUGAAACAUCUAAGUACCUGAAGGAAGAGAAAGAAAUUCGAUUCCGUAAGUAGCGGCGAGCGAACGCGGAUUAGCCCAAACCAAUAAAGUUUUCUUUAUUGGGGUUGCGGACAUAUCAUAACGAAGAGGUAUCGUAAUUGAAGAGGUUUGGAAAGACCCACCACAGAAGGUAAUAGUCCUGUAUGUUAAACGAGAAGACUUCAGAUAUGAUCCAGAGUACCACGGGACACGUGAAACCCUGUGGGAAGCAGGAGGGACCACCCUCCAAGGCUAAAUACUACCUAGUGACCGAUAGCGUAUAGUACCGUGAGGGAAAGGUGAAAAGAACCCCGGGAGGGGAGUGAAAUAGAACCUGAAACCCUGCACUUACAAGCUGUGGAAGCACAUUUCUUGUGUGACCGCGUACUUUUUGUAGAACGGGCCAACGAGUUACGUUAAGUAGCAAGGUUAAGCACUUAAGGUGUGGAGCCGUAGCGAAAGCGAGUUUUAACUGAGCGUUCAGUUACUUGACGUAGACCCGAAACCGGGCGACCUACCCAUGAGCAGGAUGAAGCGAAAGUAAAAUUUCGUGGAGGUCCGAACCCACGAGCGUUGAAAAGCUCGGGGAUGACUUGUGGGUAGCGGUGAAAUUCCAAUCGAGCCCGGAGAUAGCUGGUUCUCCCCGAAAUAGCUUUAGGGCUAGCCUCAAGGUGAGAGAUACGGAGGUAGAGCACUGAAUGUCCUAGGGGGUAUUGCACCUACCGAAGACUAUCAAACUCCGAAUGCCGUCAUCUUAUACUUGGGAGUCAGACUGUGGGUGAUAAGAUUCAUAGUCGAAAGGGCAACAGCCCAGAUCGUCAGCUAAGGUCCCUAAAUGUAAGUUAAGUGGUAAAGGAUGUGGGAUUGCACAGACAACCAGGAUGUUGGCUUAGAAGCAGCCACUCAUUCAAAGAGUGCGUAAUAGCUCACUGGUCGAGUGAUCCUGCGCCGAAGAUUUCCGGGGCUAAAACUUACUACCGAAGCUACGGCAUCAGUAAUGAUGGGUAGGGGAGCUUCCCAUACGGGUUGAAGCAUGACCGUAAGGACAUGUGGACAGUAUGGGAGUGAGAAUGUUGGCAUGAGUAGCGAGAUGUGGGUGAGAAUCCCACAGGCCGUAAACCCAAGGUUUCCAGGGGAAGGUUCGUCCGCCCUGGGUUAGUCGGGACCUAAGCUGAGGCCGAAAGGCGUAGGUGAUGGACAACAGGUUGAUAUUCCUGUACUACCGAUAACCGUUUGAGAGAAGGGAUGACACAGUAGGAUAAGCUAAGCACACUGUUGGUUAUGUGUGCCCAAGCAUUGAGGCAGUCAAAGUAGGCAAAUCCGCUUUGAUAAUGCUGGGAUGUGAUGGGGAGCGAAAUUUAGUAGCGAAGUAGCUGAUUUCACACUGUCAAGAAAAGUCUCUAUCGAGGUUAAAGGUACCCGUACCGCAAACCGACACAGGUGGGUGAGGAGAGUAUCCUAAGGCCAGCGAGAGAACUGUUGUUAAGGAACUCGGCAAAAUGACCCCGUAACUUAGGGAUAAGGGGUGCCACCAUCAGGUGGCCGCAGAGAAUAGGCCCAAGCGACUGUUUACCAAAAACAUAGGUUUCUGCUAAGUCGCAAGACGAUGUAUAGGAGCUGACGCCUGCCCGGUGCUGGAAGGUUAAGGGGAUCUGUUAGAGCAAUCGAAGCAGUGAACUUAAGCCCCAGUAAACGGCGGCCGUAACUAUAACGGUCCUAAGGUAGCGAAAUUCCUUGUCGGGUAAGUUCCGACCCGCACGAAAGGCGUAACGAUUUGGGCACUGUCUCAACAACAGACUCGGUGAAAUUGUAAUUCCGGUGAAGAUGCCGGAUACCUGCGACAGGACGGAAAGACCCCAUGGAGCUUUACUGUAGCUUGACAUUGGGUCUUGGUACUACAUGUACAGGAUAGGUGGGAGGCUUUGAAACCAGGACGCCAGUUUUGGCGGAGCCAUCCUUGGGAUACCACCCUUGUAGUACUGGGACUCUAACCAUAGGCCAUGAAUCUGGUCUUGGGACACUGUCAGGUGGGCAGUUUGACUGGGGCGGUCGCCUCCCAAAAGGUAACGGAGGCGCUCAAAGGUUCUCUCAGUACGGUCGGAAAUCGUACGUAGAGUGUAAAGGCAAAAGAGAGCUUGAUUGCAAGACAUACAGGUCGAGCAAGGAUGAAAAUCGGACUUAGUGAUCCGGUGGUUCUGCGUGGAAGGGCCAUCGCUCAACGGAUAAAAGCUACCCUGGGGAUAACAGGCUUAUCUCCCCCAAGAGUCCACAUCGACGGGGAGGUUUGGCACCUCGAUGUCGGCUCAUCACAUCCUGGGGCUGUAGUAGGUCCCAAGGGUUGGGCUGUUCGCCCAUUAAAGUGGUACGCGAGCUGGGUUCAGAACGUCGUGAGACAGUUCGGUCCCUAUCCGUCGCAGGCGUAGGAAAUUUGAGAAGACCUGUCCUUAGUACGAGAGGACCGGGAUGGACGUACCUCUGGUGUACCAGUUGUUCUGCCAAGGGCAUGGCUGGGUAGCUAUGUACGGAAUGGAUAAGCGCUGAAAGCAUCUAAGCGCGAAGCCAACU
rnacentral:rRNA from 1 species